GUGCCAGCCGCCGCGGUAAUACCAGCUCUCCGAGUGGUGGGGAUGAUUAUUGGGCCUAAAGCAUCCGUAGCCGGCUGGACAAGUCCCCUGUUAAAUCCAACGAUCCAAUCGUUGGUCUGCGGGGGAUACUGUCCGGCUUGGGGGCGGGAGAGGCCGCCGGUAUUUCCGGGGUAGGGGUGAAAUCCUAUAAUCCCGGGAGGACCACCAGUGGCGAAGGCUGUCGGCUAGAACGCGCCCGACGGUGAGGGAUGAAAGCUGGGGGAGCGAACCGGAUUAGAUACCCGGGUAGUCCCAGCUGUAAACGAUGCAGGCUAGGUGUUAGGGCGGCUACGUGCCGCUCUAGUGCCGCAGGGAAGCUGUUAAGCCUGCCGCUUGGGGAGUACGGCCGCAAGGCUGAAACUCAAAGGAAUUGACGGGG
rnacentral:rRNA from 1 species